rnacentral:rRNA from 1 species
GCUUAAGGCCAUACCAACCUGGCUAUGCCCGAUCUCGUCUGAUCUCGGAAGCUAAGCAGGUUUGGGCCUGGUUAGUACUUGGAUGGGAGACCGCCUGGGAAUACCAGGUGCUGUAAGCU